AGAGUUUGAUCAUGGCUCAGAACGAACGCUGGCGGCAGGCCUAACACAUGCAAGUCGAACGAGAAGCCACCUUCGGGUGGUGGACAGUGGCAGACGGGUGAGUAACGCGUGGGAACGUGCCUUUCGGUUCGGGAUAACCCAGGGAAACUUGGGCUAAUACCGGAUACGCCCUUCGGGGGAAAGAUUCAUCGCCGAAAGAUCGGCCCGCGUCGGAUUAGCUUGUUGGUGGGGUAACGGCCUACCAAGGCGACGAUCCGUAGCUGGUCUGAGAGGAUGACCAGCCACACUGGGACUGAGACACGGCCCAGACUCCUACGGGAGGCAGCAGUGGGGAAUAUUGGACAAUGGGCGAAAGCCUGAUCCAGCCAUGCCGCGUGGGUGAAGAAGGCCCUAGGGUUGUAAACCCCUUUCAGCGGGGAAGAUAAUGACGGUACCCGCAGAAGAAGCCCCGGCUAACUCCGUGCCAGCAGCCGCGGUAAUACGGAGGGGGCUAGCGUUGUUCGGAAUUACUGGGCGUAAAGCGCGCGUAGGCGGAUCUGCAAGUCAGGGGUGAAAUCCCGAGGCUCAACCUCGGAACUGCCUUUGAUACUGCGGGUCUCGAGUCCGAGAGAGGUGAGUGGAAUUCCUAGUGUAGAGGUGAAAUUCGUAGAUAUUAGGAAGAACACCAGUGGCGAAGGCGGCUCACUGGCUCGGUACUGACGCUGAGGCGCGAAAGCGUGGGGAGCAAACAGGAUUAGAUACCCUAGUAGUCC
rnacentral:rRNA from 1 species